AGAGUUUGAUCCUGGCUCAGAUUGAACGCUGGCGGCAUGCCUUACACAUGCAAGUCGAACGGCAGCGGACCUUCGGGUGCCGGCGAGUGGCGAACGGGUGAGUAAUAUAUCGGAACGUGCCUUUCAGUGGGGGAUAACGUAGCGAAAGUUACGCUAAUACCGCAUAUUCUCUGAGGAGGAAAGCAGGGGACCUUCGGGCCUUGCGCUGAUAGAGCGGCCGAUAUCAGAUUAGCUAGUUGGUGGGGUAAAGGCCUACCAAGGCGACGAUCUGUAGCGGGUCUGAGAGGAUGAUCCGCCACACUGGGACUGAGACACGGCCCAGACUCCUACGGGAGGCAGCAGUGGGGAAUUUUGGACAAUGGGCGAAAGCCUGAUCCAGCCAUGCCGCGUGAGUGAAGAAGGCCUUCGGGUUGUAAAGCUCUUUCGGCCGGGAAGAAAUCGCACAGGCUAAUACCCUGUGUGGAUGACGGUACCGGAAUAAGAAGCACCGGCUAACUACGUGCCAGCAGCCGCGGUAAUACGUAGGGUGCGAGCGUUAAUCGGAAUUACUGGGCGUAAAGCGUGCGCAGGCGGUUUGGUAAGACAGGCGUGAAAUCCCCGGGCUCAACCUGGGAACUGCGCUUGUGACUGCCUCACUAGAGUACGGCAGAGGGGGGUGGAAUUCCACGUGUAGCAGUGAAAUGCGUAGAGAUGUGGAGGAACACCGAUGGCGAAGGCAGCCCCCUGGGCCGAUACUGACGCUCAUGCACGAAAGCGUGGGUAGCAAACAGGAUUAGAUACCCUGGUAGUCCACGCCCUAAACGAUGUCAACUAGUUGUUGGGGGGGUAAAACCCUUUAGUAACGUAGCUAACGCGUGAAGUUGACCGCCUGGGGAGUACGGCUGCAAGGUAAAACUCAAGGAAUUGACGG
rnacentral:rRNA from 1 species